GCUGUAGGUCAGUGGUAGAGCAUCUGCCUUGAAUGCAGAAGGUGCUGGGUUCAAUCCCCAGCAUCACCA